GACAGAGGGUGCAAACGUUGUUCGGAAUUACUGGGCGUAAAGCGCGUGUAGGCGGCUCGGCAAGUCGGAUGUGAAAGCCCUGGGCUCAACCUAGGAAGUGCAUUCGAAACUGCAGAGCUUGAGUUCUGGAGAGGAAGGCGGAAUUCUCGGUGUAGAGGUGAAAUUCGUAGAUAUCGAGAGGAACACCUGUGGCGAAGGCGGCCUUCUGGACAGUGACUGACGCUGAGACGCGAAAGCGUGGGGAGCAAACAGGG
rnacentral:rRNA from 1 species